GACGAACGCUGGCGGCGUGCUUAACACAUGCAAGUCGAGCGGUAAGGCCCUUUCGGGGGUACACGAGCGGCGAACGGGUGAGUAACACGCGGGUGACCUGCCCUCAGCUCUGGGAUAAGCCUGGGAAACUGGGUCUAAUACUGGAUAUGACUCCACGGUGCAUGUCGUGGGGUGGAAAGCCUUGUGCGGCUGAGGAUGGGCCCGCGGCCUAUCAGCUUGUUGGUGGGGUGANGGCCUACCAAGGCGACGACGGGUAGCCGGCCUGAGAGGGCGACCGGCCACACUGGGACUGAGACACGGCCCAGACUCCUACGGGAGGCAGCAGUGGGGAAUCUUGCGCAAUGGGCGAAAGCCUGACGCAGCGACGCCGCGUGAGGGAUGACGGCCUGGUGUAAC
rnacentral:rRNA from 1 species